rnacentral:rRNA from 1 species
UACGAAGGGGGCUAGCGUUGCUCGGAAUUACUGGGCGUAAAGCGCACGUAGGCGGAUAUUUAAGUCAGGGGUGAAAUCCCGCAGCUCAACUGCGGAACUGCCUUUGAUACUGGGUAUCUUGAGUAUGGAAGAGGUAAGUGGUAUUCCGAGUGUAGAGGUGAAAUUCGUAGAUAUUCGGAGGAACACCAGUGGCGAAGGCGGCUUACUGGUCCAUUACUGACGCUGAGGUGCGAAAGCGUGGGGAGCAAACAGG